rnacentral:lncRNA from 1 species
UUAUGUAUAUCUUCUUCAAUUGACCCUUAACUCAUUUCUGACAAGGAGUCUGGCCUUUCCUCAGAACAUAGCCAACCUUUAAUCCAGACAUUGCCAUGGCACAUGCACAAAAAUGCUCUUGCCAGUGAUGCUUACUGUGCAGUAUUUCACACGAACUUCAGUCUCACGAACCAACCACAACAGUCAUCUGGAUGGCAACUUGCAUCACGUGAAUCAAGAAUCCAAGAACAGAAAUCAAUGAGAAGGCAAGACUGCACACCCUGAAAACUUCUUAUCAUCUGUAAUUAGCUCCUCAUGAGGAGAGUCCUAUCAGAGCCAAGAUAUGCUGAGCUCAACUCACACCGGCUCCUGCGUGGAGAUCGUGGAGAUCCAGGGAGGACAGCCUCACAGAUGAUGUAUUUAUGAGAACUGAUCGUGCUCCCGUGGAACAGAGAACACUAGCACAGGGAGCACUGGGUCCGUGCACAGUAGGUUUUGGAGAGAAUAACAUGUAUUUUGACUCAAUAAAUGCUGCUUGUUUAGGUGUUUAGG